rnacentral:rRNA from 1 species
CAAUAGCGUAUAUUAAAGUUGUUGCAGUUAAAAGCUCGUAGUUGGAUCUCAGGUCCAGGCUUGCGGUCCACCUUGCGGUGGUUACUGCUCGUCCUGACCUACCUCCUGGUUUUCCCUUGGUGCUCUUGACUGAGUGUCUCGGGUGGCCAGAACGUUUACUUUGAAAAAUUAGAGUGUUCAAAGCAGGCAAUUCGCCUGAAUAAUGGUGCAUGGAAUAAUGGAAUAGGACCUCGGUUCUAUUUUGUUGGUUUUCGGAACUUGAGGUAAUGAUUAAGAGGGACAGACGGGGGCAUUCGUAUUACGGUGUUAGAGGUGAAAUUCUUGGAUCGCCGUAAGACGAACUACUGCGAAAGCAUUUGCCAAGAAUGUUUUCAUUAAUCAAGAACGAAAGUCAGAGGUUCGAAGACGAUCAGAUACCAU